rnacentral:lncRNA from 1 species
UGGAGUCUGUCCAGUGUAACCCUGAUUUCCCGGCUGGCUCUCAGCAGUUUCCCGCUUUCUCUAGCACCCUGGGAAGCCAGAACAUUUUGAGGCUUCUUCAGAUAUCACUCGUUCUUCGCACGAACUUGGAUAAAUCACUGGUUCUUCCUCACCCUGAGCUGCCCCAUGUGUGGAGUGCAGCUGUGAUGCGUGGAAUCCGCGUGAGUGUUGGUACCACUUGCAUAUGUAAGGGACUCAAUGGUUUUUUGCAAUGGCUCACACAUAGGAACAAGUCAACACCGACAACUGACUGCACUGUGAUGAAGAAGCUGCUGCCUUGAGUACAUGGGCACUGGGAAGUGAAGAUUGGCUUGUCAUGCUCCCCUUUCCUGUGUCAUCUAUGUGGUCAGUGUUGCACAUGCUGAAGUGAUAAGGUGUACAGCCGGGAGCAAAGCAGGAGGUGAACCUAAAGAAGCUGCUUGUGCAGAAAGUAAGGAUGUGCUCAAAAUCUGACAAGUCAGUCUGUGAGCACAGGAGCCAGACUGAAGGAGCAGUGAGUGGAGACUGCAGGGUGGAGGUGUGGGUCCUGCAGAAGAGUGAUCCAGGUAGAACAGCGUCCUCCCGGGAAGCACAGAUGCUGCUGUGAGCUCAAGGAGAAGUAGAGGGCCAGGGAAGCUGGACUGAGAAAGCAAAGUGCAAAACAUUCAUUCAACAGCUGUCAGAGAGGUUCUGGGGACCCCACACGAAGGGCCUGUGAUCCACUCCUGAGGACGUGGAUGUCAACUCUGAGUGCUGGGAAGCUGAUGGUGGAUUGUGAUCGAAGAGCCCCGCUGGCCUGACUCAUAUUUGGAAAGGACCACACUGGUGAGUGUGUCAAGAGUCAACCUUGCAUUAGGGGGACAUGCAGGCAGGGGAGGGAGGCCAUUGCUGUCUUUCAGGCCAUAAAAGGUGGUGGCCCGGGUCAGGAAGGUACCUUGCAAGGAGUCACACUGUGCAGGCAGAGGCAGCAAGGUUCCCUGUGGGCUUUGAGUGACGUAGAUGAGACGGGGUGGAGGAAGGUGUCCACAGCAACACUGUGGAGGUGACACUCAGCAGGCCCUGGGGUGGGCUUCGGUCCAGACGUACC